UGGUCCUCUCGCAACAAUAGCUCGUGAACUCGGUCAGGUCCGGAAGGAAGCAGCCGCAGCGGGUGACUUGUGUGCCGGGAUGUGGCUG
rnacentral:SRP_RNA from 1 species